rnacentral:rRNA from 1 species
CCUACGGGUGGCAGCAGUCGAGAAUCAUUCACAAUGGGGGCAACCCUGAUGGUGCGACGCCGCGUGGGGGAAUGAAGGUCUUCGGAUUGUAAACUCUUGUCAUGUGGGAGCAAAUUAAUAAGAUAGUACCACAAGAGGAAGAGACGGCUAACUCUGGGCCAGCAGCCGCGGUAAUACAGAGGUCUCAAGCGUUGUUCGGAAUCACUGGGCGUAAGGCGUGCGUAGGCUGUUUCGUAAGUCGUGUGUGAAAGGGGGGGGUUCAACCCGCGGACGGCACAUGAUACUGCGAGACUAGAGUGAUGGAGGGGGAACCGGAAUGCUCGGUGUAGCGGUGAAAUGCGUAGAUAUCGAGAGGAACACUCGUGGCGAAGGCGGGUUCCUGGACAUUAACUGACGCUGAGGCACGAAGGCGAGGGGAGCGAAAGGGAUUAGAUACCCGGGUAGUC